rnacentral:rRNA from 1 species
UACGGAGGGUGCAAGCGUUAUCCGGAUUCACUGGGUUUAAAGGGUGCGUAGGUGGGUUGGUAAGUCAGUGGUGAAAUCCCCAAGCUUAACUUGGGAACUGCCAUUGAUACUAUCAGUCUUGAAUACCGUGGAGGUCAGCGGAAUAUGUCAUGUAGCGGUGAAAUGCUUAGAUAUGACAUAGAACACCAAUUGCGAAGGCAGCUGGCUACACGAGUAUUGACACUGAGGCACGAAAGCGUGGGGAUCAAACAGG